CUUGCUAAGUUUGAUGGCGACCGGCGCACGGGUGAGUAACACGUAUCCAACCUGCCGAUGACUCGGGGAUAGCCUUUCGAAAGAAAGAUUAAUACCCGAUGGCAUAGUUCUUCCGCAUGGUAGAACUAUUAAAGAAUUUCGGUCAUCGAUGGGGAUGCGUUCCAUUAGGUUGUUGGCGGGGUAACGGCCCACCAAGCCUUCGAUGGAUAGGGGUUCUGAGAGGAAGGUCCCCCACAUUGGAACUGAGACACGGUCCAAACUCCUACGGGAGGCAGCAGUGAGGAAUAUUGGUCAAUGGACGAGAGUCUGAACCAGCCAAGUAGCGUGAAGGAUGACUGCCCUAUGGGUUGUAAACUUCUUUUAUACGGGAAUAAAGUGAGGCACGUGUGCCUUUUUGUAUGUACCGUAUGAAUAAGGAUCGGCUAACUCCGUGCCAGCAGCCGCGGUAAUACGGAGGAUCCGAGCGUUAUCCGGAUUUAUUGGGUUUAAAGGGAGCGUAGGCGGACGCUUAAGUCAGUUGUGAAAGUUUGCGGCUCAACCGUAAAAUUGCAGUUGAUACUGGGUGUCUUGAGUACAGUAGAGGCAGGCGGAAUUCGUGGUGUAGCGGUGAAAUGCUUAGAUAUCACGAAGAACUCCGAUUGCGAAGGCAGCUUGCUGGACUGUAACUGACGCUGAUGCUCGAAAGUGUGGGUAUCAAACAGG
rnacentral:rRNA from 1 species